rnacentral:rRNA from 1 species
UAGGGAAUCUUCGGCAAUGGGGGCAACCCUGACCGAGCAACGCCGCGUGAGUGAAGAAGGUUUUCGGAUCGUAAAGCUCUGUUGUAAGAGAAGAACGUGUGUGAGAGUGGAAAGUUCACACAGUGACGGUAACUUACCAGAAAGGGAUGGCUAACUACGUGCCAGCAGCCGCGGUAAUACGUAGGUCCCGAGCGUUGUCCGGAUUUAUUGGGCGUAAAGCGUGCGCAGGCGGUUUAAUAAGUCUGAAGUUAAAGGCAGUGGCUUAACCAUUGUUCGCUUUGGAAACUGUUAAACUUGAGUGCACAAGGGGAGAGUGGAAUUCCAUGUGUAGCGGUGAAAUGCGUAGAUAUAUGGGGGAACACCGGUGGCGAAAGCGGCUCUCUGGUCUGUAACUGACGCUGAGGCUCGAAAGCGUGGGGAGCAAACAGG